rnacentral:rRNA from 1 species
GACUUAAGCAUAUCAAUAAGCGGAGGAAAAGAAACUAACAAGGAUUCCCCUAGUAACUGCGAGUGAAGCGGGAAAAGCUCAAAUUUAAAAUCUGGCGGUCUUUGGCCGUCCGAGUUGUAGUCUGGAGAAGCGUCUUCCGCGUUGGACCGUGUACAAGUCUCUUGGAACAGAGCGUCAUAGAGGGUGAGAAUCCCGUCUUUGACACGGACUACCAAUGCUUUGUGAUGCGCUCUCAAAGAGUCGCGUUGUUUGGGAAUGCAGCGCAAAAUGGGAGGUGAAUUCCUUCUAAAGCUAAAUAUUGGCGAGAGACCGAUAGCGAACAAGUACCGUGAGGGAAAGAUGAAAAGCACUUUGGAAAGAGAGUUAAACAGUACGUGAAAUUGCUAAAAGGGAAACGCUUGAAGUCAGUCGCGUCGUCCGGAACUCAGCUUUGCUUCGGCUUAGUGCACUUUCCGGUUGACGGGCCAGCAUCGAUUUUGACCGCUGGAAAAGGGCUGGAGGAAUGUGGCACCUUCGGGUGUGUUAUAGCCUUCAGUCGCAUACAGCGGUUGGGAUCGAGGAACGCAGCGCGCCUUAUGGCUGGGGUUCGCCCACAUUCGCGCUUAGGAUGCUGGCAUAAUGGCUUUAAACGACCCGUCUUGAAACACGGACCAAGGAGUCUAACAUGCCUGCGAGUGUUUGGGUGGAAAACCCGAGCGCGUAAUGAAAGUGAAAGUUGAGACCUCUGUCGUGGAGGGCAUCGACGCCCGGACCUGACGUUUUCUGAAGGAUCCGCGGUAGAGCAUGUAUGUUGGGACCCGAAAGAUGGUGAACUAUGCCUGAAUAGGGUGAAGCCAGAGGAAACUCUGGUGGAGGCUCGUAGCGAUUCUGACGUGCAAAUCGAUCGUCAAAUUUGGGUAUAGGGGCGAAAGACUAAUCGAACCAUCUAGUAGCUGGUUCCUGCCGAGUCUCCCCCCCGGAGUAAA